AUUGAACGCUGGCGACAGGCCUAACACAUGCAAGUCGAGCGCGAAAGUCUUCGGAUGAGUAAAGCGGCGAACGGGUGAGUAAUGCAUGGGAAUCUGCCUGGUAGUGGGGGACAACGUCUCGAAAGGGACGCUAAUACCGCAUACGCCUACGGGGAAAGGGGGGGAGUCUUCGGACCUCUCGCUAUCAGAUGAGCCCAUGUCAGAUUAGCUAGUUGGUGAGGUAAAGGCUCACCAAGGCGACGAUCUGUAACUGGUCUGAGAGGAUGAUCAGUCACACUGGAACUGAGACACGGUCCAGACUCCUACGGGAGGCAGCAGUGGGGAAUAUUGGACAAUGGGGGGCGAACCCUGAUCCAGCCAUGCCGCGUGUGUGAAGAAGGCCCUAGGGUUGUAAAGCACUUUCAGUGGGGAGAAAGGUUAUUCACCUAAUACGUGAGUAGAUUGAUGUUACCCACAGAAGAAGCACCGGCUAACUCCGUGCCAGCAGCCGCGGUAAU
rnacentral:rRNA from 1 species